GUCCUGAAGGAACGUUGAAGACGASGACGKUGAUAGGCCGGGUGUGUAAGCGCAGCGAUGCGUUGAGCUAACCGGUACUAAUGAACCGUGAGGCUUAACCUUACAACGCCGAAGC
rnacentral:rRNA from 1 species